rnacentral:rRNA from 1 species
GUUCAGAUCGUAGGCUGCAACUCGCCUACGUGAAGGAGGAAUCGCUAGUAAUCGCAGGUCAGCAUACUGCGGUGAAUACGUUCCCGGGCCUUGUACACACCGCCCGUCACACCAUGGAAGUUGGCCACGCCCGAAGCCGUUACUCCAACCCUCGGGAGGAGGACGUCGAAGGUGGGGCUGAUGACUGGGGUGAAGUCGUAACAAGGUAGCCGUACCGGAAGGUGCGGCUGGAUCACCUCCUAA